rnacentral:rRNA from 1 species
GCGCACCAGUCGCGAAACCUCCGCAAUACACGAAAGUGUGACGGGCCAUCCCGAGUGCCGUCCGCUGAGGACGGCUUUUCCCCAGUGUACAUAGCUGGGGGAAUAAGGAGAGGGCAAGCCUGGUGUCAGCCGCCGCGGUAAUACCAGCUCUCCGAGUGGUGGGACGCUUAUUGGGCCUAAAGCAUCCGUAGCCGGCUGGGCAAGUCCUCCGUUAAAUCCAACGAUUCAAUCGUUGGGCUGCGGGGGAUACUGUCCAGCUUGGGGGCGGGAGAGGCCGACGGUAUUCCCGGGGUAGGGGUGAAAUCCUAUAAUCCCGGGAGGACCACCAGUGGCGAAGGCUGUCGGCUAGAACGCGCCCGACGGUGACGGGAUGAAAGCUGGGGGAGCGAACCGGAUUAGGAUA